CAAGCCCUUGACCAUCUCAUAACUUUCAACUCUUCAGAACUGUGGGUUCUCAGUAAUCAGGAGAUGAAAAUGAAGGGGCCAUAAAGGGAAGGGGUGUUUUAUCUUGGAGACUUGGUUUUCCUUCCUAGCUUCCUCAAGGCAUCCAUUGAACUACUUUGGAAAUCUCUGAACCUCACUUUGCCUCAGCUGCUCCAUCUAUAUGCACUUGUCUCUUAAGUCUCUUCAAAAUCAGGUAAUGAUAGUCUAAGCAUGGGCUGUUGAUGCUGGGCACACAGUGAUGCUGUUAAACUCUAAAAUAAUUUUGUUCCUCUUACCAGUUCAUCUUGGAAUUACUUGCAUGGUAAAUCUGUAUAUCCCAUGACUAAUUUACAAAAACUGGAACUGAAACAUGUACAGUUGUUACUUUCCCAGCUCUGGUUCCCAAAGAUGUGAAAUGCAGAAUGACCACACCAAUGUUUCAGAUCAAUUGAUCAGCAGCAAAAAGGUGGGGAGCUGAAUUGCUCUUGUGCAUUACACAGAGAUAGUAACUUUUUUGCUUUUUUUUGCAAAAAAGACAAUAACUUUUUGCUCCCCAAAAGCAGCAAAAAGUCAGCUUUAAAUUAAACACUGCCCAGGCAAAAACCUGACUUUGCAUAAGUCUUAAUUAUGUUGUGCAGAGGAGCUGAGCAGCACAGUGCAUCCCUGUGAGAAGAGUCUUCCCAGGUUGGCACGGAGGGUGAGGAGCUCCAAGCUGCUCCCAUGGAUGGGAGCCAAGAGAAGCACCUGCACUAAUUCCUGCUGAUUGCCUCCUAGCAGGCAUGGCUCUGUGUGGGCUGCUCAAGAAAAAGCCACCUUCAAAAGUCAGCUCCAGCAGAAAAAAAAAAUAAAAUUCCACAGCACUAAGGACACCCAAACAUGAAAUUUGUAUUCACUGGCCAAUGACAGUCACUGUUAGACCACCCACCACUUCUUGUGUGUCACAGCCUGCCUGUCCCCUUGUUCUGCUUCCAAGUGCUCUGUUUCCCAGAUUCCUUCUCAAUACAUUUUGUAGCACUAGAGAAAUUCUUUAAUUUCCAUAGGACUCUGCUGCUCUCUGCUCACCAAAGGAGCAUCUGAACAGAUUCUCUCUUGUAUCAGCUGCUGAAGUUUGUUUAUUUGGCACCCAGGAGAGGUGAAAACAGAAAUGAUAGGAUUUUCCAUGUCUUCUGAAAAAGUUUAGUUUGAAUAUCAAUCUCAUGCCUAAAUUUUGUCCUAAUUUAUGCAAGUGGCUGUAAGUCCCACUUUUGCUUCUUUCUGAUGUUACUGGUUCUCAAUAUGGGCUGCAGUAAGAUUGAUAGUGAAAGAAUCUGAA
rnacentral:lncRNA from 1 species